rnacentral:rRNA from 1 species
GAUGAACGCUAGCUACAGGCUUAACACAUGCAAGUCGAGGGGAAACGAUAGGGAAAGCUUGCUUUUUCUAGGCGUCGACCGGCGCACGGGUGAGUAACGCGUAUCCAACCUGCCCAUCACUUGGGGAUAACCUUGCGAAAGUAAGACUAAUACCCAAUGACGUCUCUAGAAGACAUCUGAAGGGGAUUAAAGAUUUAUCGGUGAUGGAUGGGGAUGCGUCUGAUUAGCUUGUUGGCGGGGUAACGGCCCACCAAGGCGACGAUCAGUAGGGGUUCUGAGAGGAAGGUCCCCCACAUGGGAACUGAGACACGGUCCAAACUCCUACGGGAGGCAGCAGUGAGGAAUAUUGGUCAAUGGACGAGAGUCUGAACCAGCCAAGUAGCGUGCAGGAAGACGGCACUAUGGGUUGUAAACUGCUUUUAUAAGGGAAUAAAGUGAGUCUCGUGAGACUUUUUGCAUGUACCUUAUGAAUAAGGACCGGCUAAUUCCGUGCCAGCAGCCGCCGCAG